GACGGAGGAUGCAAGCGUUAUCCGGAAUUAUUGGGCGUAAAGCGCGCGCAGGCGGUCCUUUAAGUCUGAUGUGAAAGCCCACGGCUCAACCGUGGAGGGUCAUUGGAAACUGGGGGACUUGAGUACAGAAGAGAAGAGUGGAAUUCCACGUGUAGCGGUGAAAUGCGUAGAGAUGUGGAGGAACACCAGUGGCGAAGGCGACUCUUUGGUCUGUAACUGACGCUGAGGCGCGAAAGCGUGGGGAGCAAACAGG
rnacentral:rRNA from 1 species